CUGUCUAUGUUCCACCAAAACCUUUGUCUGUAACCUUUAACUGGGCAAAAUGGUGCAUUAUAGAGCAAAAUAUUUUCAACCAAGGUAGCUGAAAUGGGGAAACUUACAGAAUGCAUCCAGAAUCCAUUACUCCAGUGGAAUUGAAAUUUGGCAAAUUUUAUCGAAAGUUAAUUGCAUAAAAAUCAUUAUAAAGUAUUUUAUGACAUAAUGCAGAAUGUCAUAAAACAUUUUCUGUGAUCAACUCCUGAUGUUUGACCGUAGUAUACAGUUUAACAUAGGCUACUUUCAAGGCAGAGACAUCUCUUAAUAUUUCCUUAAAUUUUAAAGAUUUUUUCCAGUACCUUAGGAGCUUUGCCAUUGUGGCAUUGAGGAAUCUGUUCCUAUAACCAACUGGUGGGCAGCAAGACCUGAUAGAUGAACAAUUGGCUGUUUUGGAACUGAGGCUGAAAUUUGAAAUCUUUUAACAGUGGUGGGCAGCAAAGAAAGGACAAGGGAGUGACUUGGAUGCCUGCUGGUGAGCAGACAGUUCCAUGAGUCAGCUGUAGAAGAGGAGGAGAGGUUUCUGAUGUUCCCUGCCAACUUGUCACAAGCAAAGUCAAUGGGGAAGCUAGCAGGAAGUAAAAAAUCACUUCUGCUCCCACUGGUGUGCCCAAUUAGCUGGCAACAAGGCCCAACAGGUGAAUGGCGAUUGGCUGCUUUGUGAGGCUGGGCUGCCUGGGAAGCACCAGUGCUUAGCAGCAAAUUGGCAGGCAGUUCCAUGGAUCAGUUGAGGAGGAGAAGUGAUUUCUGAGUUUCCCAGAAGCAAUGUCAAAUGGGGAAGCUGGCAAGAAGUUAGAAGUUGUUCCCAUCCAUGAUGAUUAUAUUUCUCUGAUUAGAUAUUGUUUACAUUGGAGUCUCCUGUUUGUACCUUAUUUGCUUCUUCUGUCUAAUUUUUGGUAUUUGUUUCACAAUCACUACUAUCCUGUUACAUUUGGACAGACUAAAUGAUGCUUGGAUAACUCUGCUACACCCAGACAAUAUUUAUAUAGUAUGACAGAGACAAGGCAUCUGUUAAAAACACAGUAUGGAAGAUACCAAAAUACAGUCCAUGGGACUUUA